UAGUUUGAUCCUGGCUCAGCCUGAACGCUGGCGGCGUGGCUAAGACAUGCAAGUCGCACGGGCGUAGCAAUACGUCAGUGGCGGACGGGUGAGUAAAGUAUCGCUAACGUACCCCGGAGCCUGGGAUAGCCGGCCGAAAGGCCGGGUAAUACCAGAUGAUAUACCCGAUGGGCAUCCAUCGGACCUCAAAGCAGCAAUGCACUCUGGGAGCGGGCGAUAUCGUAUCAGGUAGUUGGUGGGGUAACGGCCCACCAAGCCGACGACGCGUAGCUGGUCUGAGAGGACGACCAGCCACAUCGGGACUGAGACACUGCCCGGACUCCUACGGGGGGCUGCAGUAACGAAUCUUCCACAAUGCACGAAAGUGUGAUGGAGCGACGCCGCGUGUAGGAUGAAGUCCUUCGGGAUGUAAACUACUGUCAGGGGAAAGAAAGUUCUGAUCUACCCCAGAGGAAGGGGCGGCUAACUCUGUGCCAGCAGCCGCGGUAAUACAGAGGCCCCGAGCGUUAGGCGGAAUCACUGGGCUUAAAGCGUGUGUAGGCGGAGUUCUAAGUACCUUGUGAAAUCCCACGGCUCAACCGUGGAACUGCUGGGUAUACUGGUUCUCUUGAGGUACCUAGGGGCGAGCGGAACAAGUGGUGGAGCGGUGAAAUGCGUAGAUAUCACUUGGGACGCCAACGGUGAAAACAGCUCGCUGGGGGUAUCCUGACGCUGAGACACGAAAGCCAGGGGAGCGAACGGGAUU
rnacentral:rRNA from 1 species